CCUGGCUCAGGGUGAACGCUGGCGGCGUGCCUUACACAUGCAAGUUGAACGAGAACGGCUCAAUUUGCUUCUUCCGGAAGCAAAAUGAGCUUGGGACAGUAGCGAACGAGUGAGUAACACGUAGUAACCUGCCCACUGGAGGGGGAGAACCACUGGAAACGGUGGCUAAUACCGCAUAAGCCCGAAAGGGGAAAGCAAUUUAUUGUGCCGGUGGAGGGGACUGCGGGCCAUCAGGAAGAUGGUGAGGUAAAAGCUCACCAAACCGACGACGGCUAUCUGACGUGAGAGCGUGAUCAGACACGAGGACACUGAGAGACGGGUCCUACUCCUACGGGAGGCAGCAGUGGGGAAUAUUGGACAAUGGGGGAAACCCCGAUCCAGCGACGCCGCGUGAACGAAGAAGUCCUUCGGGAUGUAAAGUUCUUUUAAAUGGGAAGAAGACCGUGACGGUACCAAUUGAAUAAGCCCCGGCUAACUACGUGCCAGCAGCCGCGGUAAGACGUAGGGGGCAAGCGUUACCCGGAAUCACUGGGCGUAAAGGGAGCGUAGGCGGUUAUGCAGGUCAUACGUUAAAGCAUUCGGCUCAACCGAAGAGAUGCGUAUGAAACCGUAUAACUUGAGGAUAUCAGAGGAAAAGGGAAUUACCAUUGUAGGGGUGAAAUCCGUAGAGAGUGGUAAGAAUGCCGGUGGCGAAGGCGCUUUUCCGGGGUAUACCUGACGCUGAGGCUCGAAAGCCAGGGGAGCGAACCGGAUUAGAUACCCGGGUAGUCCUGGCCGUAAACGAUGUUCACUAGGUGUAGGAUGUCGACAGGCCAACUGUGCUGAAAGCAACGCGAUAAG
rnacentral:rRNA from 1 species